rnacentral:hammerhead_ribozyme from 1 species
AUCCAACUGACGAGUUCCAAAUAGGACGAAAUGCGUGUUCUAGAU